UCAAUUGGGCGAUGUUGUCUGCAAUUUGGUAGGUUUCAGUUCGGUGAUUCAAGCGCCAACGUUGUCCCCAUGGAUCCUGGAUAUCCUGCUGUGCUGGAGGAUGAAGGCGCAGUUACCGUCAUUGCUGCUAUGAUGGCGUCGUCUGCAGGUGCCAAGGCUGAGAGCAUGGGCCAGGCUCAGCCCCAGCAGAAUGUAUGCGAUGAAGCAGAGAGCAGUGGUGAAUGUUGAGAUGCCACACAUUCUAUUGUGCUCAUACAUCCUGCUCUCUAUUCUCUGGGGAAAGAGUGUUUUUAUGAACGAUGACCCAUCUUAUUCAGUUCAAUCAACAUUGAAGAUAAAUCCGGAAGCACCUAGAUGGACUAAGAGAUAAAUGAGCAAGGGUCCAUUUAGUUUGGGCUCCAAGUAUUACAUUAGGGAUUGCACAUUAUUGGAAACUCUACAAGUCCGAGUACUUAUGAUCUGUUUUGGUGCUACCUGGGUUGUCCAUGAAUUAAGGAAUACCAAUCAUCAUGGCUUCCUUUGUAGAAUUGAAACUGAUAAUCAAGCUUAGAAUUGAUCUUAAGUUGGCUCUUCCGCAAGAUACAAGUAUUAUUGAGCAAAUUGAUUGGAGUGGGGUAUGUAGCGUAUCUUAAUCCAAUAUACUACGCCCUUCAACUUUUUGUAAUUGUCGUCGUAUUUUUUCAUCGUUUUAGUCUGCUUGGAUUUGUGAUAAUACAACAAUUGAGGUGCUUGGUUGUGCAAUUUCCUUGUGCUCUGUUAGUGACUCAAUGGAAGGGUUUCUAUAGAAGAUAGAGAUGGGCUUUUGGAUGGAUGAGAAGAUACCCUGUUAAGCUCUCUCGAGAUUCAGUAGAAGCAUAGUUGCCCCCUGGUUUCCAUUGGGUGGAGGAAGAGGCGAACAACUCAUUCCAUUUGGUUUUCUGGCAACACCAAAUCCUCACUGGAAAAAAAACUCUGAAUGGUCAAUGCAACUAUGCAGUGAAGAGGGACCAAUAGUUUAAGUAUUGUUUUAUUGAGCAGCUCCAGAACAUAUUACAUGUUCACUUGACUAUCUAUUUCAGCUUAUUUCCAAAGGUGAUGGUUAUAAUGUCUCAACAACCUAACUAACUAAAAGAAGGUUCUAGAAGAUUCUAUGGAGUGUACUUCAGCAGAUACUUACCAUCCUUACAAGUCGUGUCAACAACUCAUUCCGGGUAUUUGAGAUUGCCACUCUUUUGUAUGGAAAUGAAUCAGCCAUUUGCUUUCUCUGUAUUAAUGCAUAUGGAAAUGCUAUCUGGUUCUGUGAUUAUGUUCCUCUCAUAUUUUCAUUGUAAUAUGUCAAUCCUUUUUCUAAAUAUGAAGAUUAUAUGCACAUACUACCUCUUCUAUCCAACCAUUCAAAAAUUCCCCUUCUAAUCUAUUAAAACAUGCAACUAUUCUCAUAAGUACCAGCAGAAGGUACUUAUAUGCUUCAAUGAUAUCAGUUGGCAGUAUGGUUCACAAUUUCUAGAGCCCACAAGAAAAUAUAUUGUUACCGAUCGAACACCAAUUUUGUUAGCUAAGAAUAUAUGUUUCUUAGCUAGGGCAAAAAAGAUAAGUUUUGGUUACAUUUGUAGCUGUACCCCUAUGUUUUCACCACUAGGUAAUCUAUUUGGAUUGACGUUGAAAUUCUCCGCCUUGACGGAAAGAAGAGACCUGAGAGCGAUACUACAAUCAAGCAUACACUUGCUCAUCACGGAACUACUUCAAGGAAAAAAAUGCUAGCUAUUACCUUACGGUCUUGGCAACACUCUACAAAAUACCUGCGCUGACAAGUUGGUUGUUGCGGCCUAAGAUGCCAAAGGUCUGAACUUCCAAUAGCAACACCAAAGAUUUCUACAUACAUACAUGUUCGACCGCAAGUAUUCUCCAUAUAAAACUUAGGUGUUAGUUUUUGCUCCAGGUACAGGUAAGAACACUCCAUCUCUUUUUGCUUACUUUGUUUGGUUCUUUCCACGUAUAAUAUUAUGUUAUUUGUCAGGUGUUUUUGUUGCUACGAAAAUAUUUGUACUAGCCUAGAAAAUUGUUCCUUUAUACUCCCUCCGGUCCAUAUUACAUGAUGUU